CGCGAACGGCUCAUUAUAACAGCUACCCUUUAAAUGAUCUUGACAAAUCCUACAUGGAUAACUGUGGUAAUUCUAGAGCUAAUACAUGCACCAAAGUUCUGACCUUAUGGGAAGAAUGCAUUUAUUAGAACAAAACCAAGCGGCUUCGGCCGUUUUUUGUUGACUCAGAAUAACUAAGCUAAUCGCAUGGUCUUGUACCGGCGACGUGUCUUUCAAGUAUCUGCCUUAUCAACUUUCGACGGUAGUGUAUCUGACUACCGUGGUGGUGACGGGUAACGGAGGAUAAGGGUUCGACUCCGGAGAAGGGGCCUGAGAAAUGGCCACUACGUCUAAGGAUGGCAGCAGGCGCGCAAAUUACCCACCCUCAGAACGAGGAGGGAGGGACGAAAAAUAACGAGACCGUUCUCUACGAGGCCGGUCAUCGGAAUGGGUACAAUUUAAACCCUUUAACGAGUAUCUAUGAGAGGGGCAGUCUGGGGCCAGCAGCCGCGGGAAUUCCAGCU
rnacentral:rRNA from 1 species